GUCACUCUGGGAGGGAGACAGCAGCAACUAAGCUGUACAAGGUUUUUUUUUUUUUUUUUUCUUCCUUUUUUUCUUUUUUUUUUUCUUUUUCCCCUUUCAUUUUUCUUUCUUUUUUUCUUUUUCUUUCUUUCUUUCUCUUUCUCUCUCUUUUUUUCUUUUUCUUUAAGGUGGGGAAACAGACAACCAGGAGACAGGAAGCUGAUCUGCAAGGAUUCGGAGUUGUGCUGAAAGGACUUUGAUUUUUUUUCCCCUUUACGAACGCUGGCAAUUGACAUCACUACAGACAGCCUGGUUAGAGAACAAACUGCCUCAUCCCAAGUGGACCCCGGCAGCUGGGGGAAGUCAGGCAAGAUCUGGGAAGGCUGUGUCGAGUGGUGGAGUCUCUGAAGCCUCAUCAGUCACCGGGACUGUCAGGAAUAGUGGUUUAAGAGGAAGCUCGGCCUGGGGCACUAUACCCUGUCAUCCAGUUCCCUGCCUCGGAGAUAAAGAUUCCAGCUACAUGGGCAAACGCCUGGAUCAGCCACAAAUGUACCCCCAGUACACUUACUACUAUCCUCAUUAUCUCCAAACCAAGCAGUCCUAUGCACCAGCUCCCCACCCCAUGGCUCCUCCCAGCCCCAGCACAAACAGCAGCAGCAACAACAGCAGCAACAACAGCAGCGGGGAACAGUUGAGUAAAACCAACCUGUACAUUCGAGGCCUCCCACCAGGCACCACUGACCAGGACCUAAUCAAGCUGUGCCAACCGUAAGUGUCCUUCUGCUGCCUGUGCUGUUUCUCACUUCCAUACUUGCCUUGGUGGGCAGGAUGUGUUAUUGCAGUCAAUGCACUCAUCCACUGG
rnacentral:sRNA from 1 species